UACGUAGGGAGCAAGCGUUGUCCGGAAUCAUUGGGCGUAAAGAGCGUGUAGGCGGUUUGGUAAGUCCGCUGUGAAAGUCAAGGGCUCAACCCUUGAAUGCCGGUGGAUACUGUCGAACUAGAGUCCGGAAGAGGCGAGUGGAAUUCCUGGUGUAGCGGUGAAAUGCGCAGAUAUCAGGAGGAACACCGAUGGCGAAGGCAGCUCGCUGGGACGGUACUGACGCUGAGACGCGAAAGCGUGGGGAGCAAACAGG
rnacentral:rRNA from 1 species